GGCUGGCAGGAGGGAGUCUGGGGGAGCCUGGAGGGCAGUUCCCAACAGCACCUGGAAUGUCUGCCUUCCCAGCUCUAUCCCCAGCUCAGCUGCGGGGGGAAGGGGGCAGUGAAUCAGGCCCCUGCCCACCAUGGGUUCUGAGGGUCUUGCGGUCUGUCUAGGAGGCAGAAAAUGCCCACAGCAGGGGGACUGGUGCUGCCGGGCUUGGCACGGAGUGGGGAGCUGGUGUUUGGAAAACUCGCCCGUGCCCAGGGUUUGCCCCCGUGGUUGCCUGGAUUCCUUGAGGGGCGCCCAGAAAGAGCACAGGGACCAUGGCAUUUUGCUGACCACUUCUGGGGUUUCAUGGAUUUCCAGAAGCUCCCUCCAGACCCCAGCUGGAGAGCCCCCUGGGGUCAGUACCAUGGAGGGGCUCUUCGGGUCUGCUGUUCACUGCCCAGCAGGAGCAGGGCACGCUGUGUGUGUUUGGCACAAAAGUGCAAAUGGUGGUGCCCGGGGGUCUCUGUGCUGUUGAAGAAUGGAAGCCGUUUCCACGUUGGGCCAGCCGGAGCUGCUGGGCAGUUGGGUAGGAGUGAGGCAGGGGUGGGGUGUGAUGGGGAGCAAUGGGUCCCUGCCUUUCUCAGGACUGUCAUCCAACCAUGUCAGGGGUUGUAAGAACCAGCGUGGCCUCAGCCAGGCUUUGCGGGACUCUGUGCAUUCAUCUCAUCUCACCCUGGGACCCCCCUCCAGCGUAGGCGGCUUUCCCAGGUGGUGGCGUGAACUGAGGGAGUAAACUGAGGCCAGAAGAGUGAGACGAUCCACUGAGCAAUGGAAAAGCCGACCGGACAGAUGCCUAUCCUUGCUCCUCAAGGAGUCUUGUUGAAACUCGAAGCCCAUCCCUGUCUGGAGUCCAAGUCACAGAGGCCACUCUCAAGACCAGUUUCAGCUGACCCGCGACCAGGACGACCCAGGGCUGGAGCCCUGCCUGGCCCACCAUGGGCAUGGUGUGGAGCUGGGAAGGGGAGUCAAGGGGUGCUGUGGACCAGGAGGAGAGGAGCUGGAGCCAACGCCAAUGCUGUGGAUGGUUGGGAGGCCCUGGAGCCAUAACCAGGAAGCAAGAUGCUGAAAGGACUAGAUGAGCAAACAGCAGGGAACUGAUCUGCCAAGGAAAUGCAGCCAGCAGGAGGCAGAUUCCCCCAUGUCAGCAUCUCUUCUUGCUCAGCCAACCAAGCAAAGUGACGCCUGGAGUCAGCUGUUUCCUCCUGUAUCUCAUCUCCAGAAAAUCCUGCCCAUUUAGUUUCCUGAGUAGCUCCAGAGUCCAGCAUCUGUCCACUGCCAUCCAUACCCUCUGCCACCCCCAGCCCAAGCCACCUCCACUGCCCUCUCUGCCAGCCGAGGUCAUACACCUGCUCCCAGGCUCUCACCUCCGUGUCCCUGCUCCAGGCAGCCUGUGCUUAUGCCUGUUGCUAUCACCUCUCCCUCCCAGCCCUGGAUGCCUCUGACGCUGUGUCCAUAUCUGCCUGGGGGUCAGAAAGGCUUAGGCAGGAAUCCAGACUCUCCCCAUUAGCAUCAGGGCGACCAUGGCCUCAGUCUUGCCUCUGAAACAGGAGAAUUAUGUCACUCUCCAGCUUUCCUCCCUCCUUUCCAUGGAGUCAGCUGUGUGCCAAGCACAGCCCGGUGCUGGGGCCAGGGUCCCUGCCUCAUCCUGGCCCAGGGAGAUAGGCUGUCGGCAGGCUAGAUUUGCACCCCAGGCCCGAACCUCAGACGCUGCCCAGGGGCUGGCGGGGCCAGUGGCUUUGAUGGCGCCUCACUGGCCUCUCCUUGGAAUUUCCCUUCCUAAGUCUGGGCUGGGAGCUCCAGGGCAGGCCCGUCUCAGCACAUCCACUCCCCCUCCGCCACCCCCAGAUCCAUGGGGCAGGCUCUCAGUGAGAGGAGAUGACAGGGGUGGCCUGUGUGGAGCAGGCUCUGGGGCUGUGGGGACAUUUCUGUGACUGUGCUAACUGGCAGGACUUCAAUUAUGUUUUAACAAGACAAGAUCAGCUUGUGUAGACCACGCUGAGGUUUGGUUUCCUAUCCCAGUGGCCACGUCCAGAGCCGUCCUCUCGGAAUAGUGCCAAGGUUUCCUUUACAGCACAUUUGUUUCCCGUAAGGCGUCCCCAUCAGCCCAUCCAAGGAAUCUCUCUGGAACACAGCUCCUGAUCUAGGCCCCAAACGUCUGAUGUCCUGGGUCCUCCAAGGUUGCUCCUGAUUUACAUUUCUGGCCUCACCUGCACUGCCCCAAUGCCCUUUAGACUUGUCUGGGUAAGAGGUUGUUCCUCUGGCCUCCCAGCCACCAACUUUGCAUUUUCUUGCUUCUGGGCCUUUGCUAGUGCCAUUCCCAGGAACUCGAACUCCCCUCCAGCUCUGCGUACUGAGAUUCCUGGUCAUCUGUCUCCAUGCUCCUGGAACAAGCCUUUCCUGAUUCCCACCCCCUGAAGAUGCCUCCCUCUUCUGGGCUCUAGUAGCACCCACUGUCUGCACCACAUGUUUGGCGUUUAUAGUUUGUUAAUAAUUCAGCAGCAAAUAUUCCUUGAGCUCUUACUGCAUCCUGGGCCCAGCUUUGGGUCCCUGCUUUUGUGGAGUUUUCAGUCUUGUCGGGGGACAUGAAUGUGUACUGGUGAUUUCGGGAGUGCAGAGAGGAAGAAUGGGGAGUGUUAACAGGGGCAGCAGCCAGGAGAGGUGACCCUGAGUGAGGGGCCCAGAUGCUGAAACCUGAGGAUGAGUAGCAAGAAGAUGGGAAAGAGCACCCCGGGCAGGAAAUGGCACGUGCAAAGGCCCAGAGGCAGGCAGGACAAGGCAGGACCUGGAUAAGCUCAUCUUGCUUGGAGUAUAAGAGCAGGAGGGGGACAAGACAAGAGGGGUGAGGUCAGCAGAGACCCGGCAGGCAGCAGGGCGUUGGUGCCUGAGCCAGCCUUCCUGGAGCCCUGUCCCUGCCUUCCCUGUCACAGCUUGGUGCUCCUUCCUCUCCAAAACACUUUCCGGGUCAGUCUUCCUCACAUUUUAACGUGCAUCGAGUAGCCUGGGGAGCAGGGCUGCAGGACUGUGCAUUUGUUUUUGUUUGUUAUGUUUUUGAGACGGAGUCUCCCUCUGUUGCCCAGGCUGGAGUGCAAUGGCACGAUCUCAGCUCAUUGCAACCUCUGCCUCCCAGGUUCAAGUGAUUCUCCUGCCUCAGCCUCCCAAGUAGCUGGGACUACAGGUGCGCGCCAGCACACCCGGCUAAUUUUUGUAGUUUUAGUAGAGAUGGGGUUUUGCCAUGUUGGCCAGGCUGUCCUCCAGCUCUUGACCUCAAGCGAUGAUCCUCCUGCCUUGGCCUCCCAAAGUGCUGGGAUUACAGGCAUGAGCCACUGCACCCGGCCAGGACUGUGCAUUUCUACCAAGCAUCUGGUGCUGCUGGUGCGGCAUCCUCGGACCACACUUUGAGGACAAGGGGCUGCAGCCCUUGGCUUCUGGGACAUCGUGCUCUCCCCGACCUGCCCUCCCUCCUUGGCUGGUUUCUCCUCGUCUCCUGACCUCUAAGUGUGAAGAGGCCCAGGGUCAGGCCUCAGGUUCCCCUUCGUUCCCCAUAUCCAUCCACCAUUCCCACGGUGGCUUCCCCCACUUUGCAGCUUCCAGGCCACAUAUCAAAAAUACCCCCUGCUCCAUGGUUGCUCUCCACCCCCUUAACCUGCCUGGUUUGUACUUUUACCCCAUACUUGGCAUAUUAUACGUUCAUUUACUGUCUGUUUCUUCCCUCUAGAAUUUGAGUUACUGAGGACAGGGGCUCAGUCUCUUUAUUCUGGUGCCUCAAAUGGUGUCCUGGGCCCAUGAUGGGCACCUGGUGACUCUCAGCCGAAUGAGGAGUGAAUGCAUCCAGGGGAAGGGUCAGAAGGGUGCUGGCCAGGAGAGUAGCUGGUUCUGCUUUCGGUAGUGGCUCUGUGGCUGCAGGUGCAAGGCAGGCAUGGUGGGGUGGGUGUGGAGGCAGAGUGGGAGGAAGCCGUUCAGAGGCUGUCAUGGUCAUCAAGAGGCAGGAGGUGGUGGGCUGGAGAGAAGGGGAUGGGGUGAUGAGUGGGAGGGAGCACUAAUAGGGCUUGUUGGUGGUCUGAUGGGGAACAGGGAGGAGUCCUGGGAAACCAGAGGCUUCUGGCCUGGGCGGCUGUGAGCGGGGAGCCCCCAGGUUUGCCAUGCUCCUGUCUGGGAGCAGCAUGGUGGGUGCCACUUGGAUCUGGGCUGUGCAUCACCUUGGCUAAAUUUCUUGGUUCCUCCAUGUUUCAAUUUGAUAAAAUGGAGAUGACAGUAGAAGUCACCCCAUAAUUGGUG